AUUGAACGCUGGCGGCAGGCCUAACACAUGCAAGUCGAGCGGCAGCGGAAAGUAGCUUGCUACUUUGCCGGCGAGCGGCGGACGGGUGAGUAAUGUCUGGGAAACUGCCUGAUGGAGGGGGAUAACUACUGGAAACGGUAGCUAAUACCGCAUAACGUCGCAAGACCAAAGAGGGGGACCUUCGGGCCUCUUGCCAUCAGAUGUGCCCAGAUGGGAUUAGCUAGUAGGUGGGGUAACGGCUCACCUAGGCGACGAUCCCUAGCUGGUCUGAGAGGAUGACCAGCCACACUGGAACUGAGACACGGCCCAGACUCCUACGGGAGGCAGCAGUGGGGAAUAUUGGACAAUGGGAGGAACCCUGAUCCAGCCAUGCCGCGUGUGUGAAGAAGGCCUUAUGGUUGUAAAGCACUUUAAGCGAGGAGGAGGCUCUUUUGGUUAAUACCCAAGAUGAGUGGACGUUACUCGCAGAAUAAGCACCGGCUAACUCUGUGCCAGCCGCCGCGGUAA
rnacentral:rRNA from 1 species